UGCCUGGAGUUGAGACCACUGUGGCUGGAAGUUUCAGUGCCUCUCAAGUUUCCAGGUUGUAGGGUCUAAAGAACUGGAGUUCUGGCUCCCAGAGCUCCCUGCGUCUCGGGCCUGUGUGGCCCAGGGAGCUGAGGUUCCAGUCCUGCUAUCCUGGCCGUGUGCUCAGAGGGCUUUACAGACCGCAUCCAGACUGGGGAGCCCACCAACACCAGGAAGGACAUUUGGACACAGAGACACAGAGAAGAAAGCCACAACAGAGGCAGAGAGUAGGCCAGUGCCACUGCAAACCCGGCCCGGCACGGAUUGCUGGCCCCGCCAGAACCUGGGAGGAGGCAGGAAGGAGCCUCGAGCAACCUUUGGAGGGAGCACGGCCCUGCCGACACCCUGAUUUCAGACGUCGGACACCCCCAGAACACACCCCCGCCCCAUCUGUGGCACCUUGUUUCGUCAGCCUGAGGAACUUCCACACUGCUCAUAGGAGUUCUGGGGGGUGAAAUCAGAGCCAUGUGGAGCAACCAAGCAACCAGCACCGGCAACACGGGUGGGUGAUGGCAGCUGGCGUGGCCACUUUGGAGAAGUCCUGGGGGAUCUGGUCAGCACACACCCACCUCCCCCACAGGUGCACACCCUACAGAAACGCACGUUCUACACACCAUCUGACAUCACCAAGAUGUUCAGAGCAGCCAUGUUUGAAUAACCCCAAACUGAUAACCCCAAACUGGAAACCACCCCAUGCCAGCCCACAGUGGAGAAACAGAUUGUGAGAAAACCACACCAUGAGGCACUCCCGGCAAGGUGAAGGAACAGCCUACAGCUGUGGGAACAGCAUGUGUGGAUCUCUGCAGCAAGUGGAAGAGGCAGACAUGGGGGACAUCCUUUCCCUCCUGUUCCACGCCACCAACAUGAGGUUCAAGAACAGGCAAAAUUAAUCCUUGGUGGGAACAAAAUCAGAAAAGUAUUUGCUCUCAUUGACAAGUAACUGGGAGGGAGCACAUGGGACCAUUCUGCCCCUUGACUGGGGUGUGCAUUCUGCAGGUGUGUGAAGAUGUGUGUGUUUAGCUGUAUGUGAAAUUUAUCUCAACAGAAUAAAGAGAAAUGUACAGCAAGAGAGUGCACUGGUUAGCAGGG